AAGACUAUGCUUUCAGGGAUCAUUUCUGUAGUUCAUUACUAGACAAGUCUGUCUGGAUGUGGAGAGCACUGGAAAUCAUGAGGACGAGGUGCAACAUUCUCCCCUGAGUGUGAAGCCGACGCUUGGUGUUGCUUUACUGCAAUUGCCACUUGCCGACACUUGGUGUUGCUUUAUUGCAAUUGCCACCUGCCAUUGAUGAUCAUUCUCCCUUCGGGGGCUAAGAGGGAGGGAACACAGUCUGAGUGGU
rfam:Otolemur garnettii contig052084, whole genome shotgun sequence.